rfam:Oryza barthii chromosome 7, whole genome shotgun sequence.
AAUAAAUACAGUUUUGUAAUGUUUAUGUCCAACAUUUGAUCACUAGUCUUAUUUGAAUUUUUUAUUUGUAUUUUUAUUGUUACUAGAUGAAAAAACAUGAAUAAUACUUUAUGUGUGACUAAUUCUUUUAAAUUUUUUUAAUAAGAUGGAUGGUAAAAUGUUGGAUACAGAUAUCUAAUGCUGCACUUAUU